rnacentral:tRNA from 1 species
CAAGGAAUAGUUUAAUUAGAAUGUCAGCUUUGGGUGUUGAUGGCGGAGUCUUAAUUCUUCUUCCUUGA